CAGGUGUUGCCCUUUUAAGAGGCUGUUGAAAGGAAGUGGUGCAGAGCGGGGAGAGAGUUGUCAACGGAGAGCGGACUGGGGUGCCAGCCAGUGAGUGGGUGAAGCUACAUUGAGGUUUAUGUGAAAGUCUUCGCCUGGACAGGACCUUUGGGAAGGAAUCGACCCACAACAGGACACUGGUUACCCUGCCACCUCCUGCUCGGCACAAGAGCACCUGUCCACAUCUCUGUGGGGAAAUUACACCUCCCUGAACAGGACAUUUGUGACCUGAAGUUGGGAACUUUGACCCCGGUCCCAGCCUACGUGACCUCUGGGAUAGACGGCGGGAUGUCUGGGAAAGAGACACGGACAGAAUUCCUGCAGACGGUCAGAUCGGCCCCCAUCGAUCAGGUGAUCAACGGCUGCAUCAGUGAGUUUGAUGACGAGGGGAACCUGCAGGACUCCACCUUGCCCCACAUGUUCCUGUUGAUGCACCAAUGGUAUCUUCCGUCUGCAGAGCUGGUGGGGAAACUUCUCUCUUUAUAUCCUUUCCCAGUUGCCCCCUGACCUCCGACCUGCCCUGUGACCUUGUUCACGGGUUGGUUUUGUUGACCCUGAGCUGAGAGAAAGUAACGAGUUAAACAUGUGGUGGGAGAAACCAGAUUAGGACACAGUUCUGGAGAAAUAUUGUCAACAAUUCUGGGCCCAUAUCUGUGGAAGAAUGUGCUGACCCUGGACGAGAAUUAUCCCAGGAAUGAGUGAGUUAACAUAUGAUGAGCGUUUGGCCUGUACUCGCUGGAGUUUAGAAGGAUGAGCGGGGACCUCAUUGAAACACAC